GGAAGUAAAAGUCGUAACAAGGUCUCCGUUGGUGAACCAGCGGAGGGACCAUUACCGAGUUUACAACUCCCAAACCCAAUGUGAACGUUACCAAACUGUUGCCUCGGCGGGAUCUCUGCCCCGGGUGCGUCGCAGCCCCGGACCAAGGCGCCCGCCGGAGGACCAACCAAAACUCUUUUGUAUACCCCCUCGCGGGUUUUUAUAUCUGAGCCAUCUCGGCGCCUCUCGUAGGCGUUUCGAAAAUGAAUCAAAACUUUCAACAAUGGAUCUCUUGGUUCUGGCAUCGAUGAAGAACGCAGCGAAAUGCGAUAAGUAAUGUGAAUUGCAGAAUUCAGUGAAUCAUCGAAUCUUUGAACGCACAUUGCGCCCGCCAGUAUUCUGGCGGGCAUGCCUGUCCGAGCGUCAUUUCAACCCUCGAACCCCUCCGGGGGGUCGGCGUUGGGGAUCGGCCCUUUACGGGGCCGGCCCCGAAAUACAGUGGCGGUCUCGCCGCAGCCUCUCCUGCGCAGUAGUUUGCACACUCGCAUCGGGAGCGCGGCGCGUCCAUUGCCGUAAAACACCCAACUUUCUGAAAUGUUGACCUCGGAUCAGGUAGGAAUACCCGCUGAACUUAAGCAUAUCAAUAAGCGGAGGAA
rnacentral:rRNA from 1 species